UAUUAAAAAUUUCAUCCAUUCGUACUAUUAAAAAUUGACAUAUUGACAUAGUUGACAAAAUAGCCCAAUAUGCCACGUGUACCUUAUGUUGACAAACAGAAAUCAAUUUUUAAUAGCAGAAAUGGAUGAAUUUUUUAAUA
rfam:Gossypium raimondii Chr04_contig_39, whole genome shotgun sequence.